GAUGAACGCUGGCGGCGUGCUUAACACAUGCAAGUCGAACGAGAAGUGAAGACGGAAACCUUCGGGCGGAAGGCUUUAUUUCGAGUGGCGGACGGGUGAGUAACGCGUGGGUAACCUGCCUCAUACAGGGGGAUAACAGUUGGAAACGACUGUUAAUACCGCAUAAGACCACAGCACCGCAUGGUGCGGGGGUAAAAACUCCGGUGGUAUGGGAUGGACCCGCGUUCGAUUAGCCAGUUGGCGGGGUAACGGCCCACCAAAGCGACGAUCGAUAGCCGAUCUGAGAGGAUGGCCGGCCACAUUGGGACUGGGACACGGCCCAAACUCCUACGGGAGGCAGCAGUGGGGAAUAUUGCACAAUGGGGGAAACCCUGAUGCAGCGACGCCGCGUGAGUGAAGAAGUAGUUCGGUAUGUAAAGCUCUAUCAGCAGGGAAGAAAAUGACGGUACCUGAGUAAGAAGCCCCGGCUAACUACGUG
rnacentral:rRNA from 1 species